GCGAAAGUGGCGGAACCGGCAGACGCGCCGGCUUUAGGAGCCGGUGGGGAAACUACUCCCUGUGAGAGUUCGAAUCUCUCCUUUCGCACCA
rnacentral:tRNA from 1 species